GACUGGUGACCCUCUGUCCGGUCACUAUGGAGUUCCCACUCUGUUUGCUUGCUGUGUAUUUACUUUGAAGAGGAGGAGAGGAGGAGGAGGAAAGGAGAUGAAAAGCCUGCUCCCAAGGGCAGGUCACUGGGUCCCUGGCCAUGUCCUAGUGGGGGGUGUUGGGAGUCUGUCCCCUAGCAGGUACUGACCGUCAGCAUGACCUCGCAGGACCUGGUCAGUCGGGCCUGGUGAGCAGAGCCAGGAGCUGCAGAUUAACUGAUCCGCAGCGACCUUGACGCACCGACGAACCCAAGCACCAGACACCCGAAGACACCUGAGACGACUAGAUGAAGCUCAUCCGAAGCACAAAGCUUAUAUUACUUACCUGAAUACUUAAACGAAAUGUACCCUAGAAUGCCGCCAGAUGAAGAACCAUUCUUUUCUUUUUUUGGUUGGCUUCUGGUUGUCUGCGUUGCUUGGUUUCGGCGGCUCAUGGGGGGCCUGCUGAAGAAAACGCAUUCCCAAAUACACUGCAAUGCUGUACGCAUAAUUUCCUGACAAAACCCAUAAAACUGUAAAACUAAAAACUGUAAAAACAUGCAACUUCAAGUGUUCUACUCUGCUA
rnacentral:lncRNA from 8 species